GGAAGCGUGGCAGAGUGGUUUAAUGCAACGGUCUUGAAAACCGUCGAGGGUUGAUAGCCCUCCGUGAGUUCGA
rnacentral:tRNA from 1 species